UUCUCAGAAUCAGGUAAAUGCAGAGUUUACCCGCAUUACAACAAUCCCCCUGCUGUCAACAUUUAUGGCUCAACUGGAUCAUUACUCCAGCCAACUGAUGAAGGUUUUCAAAAAGAAGGGAGGGGCAGCAGGACGCAAAAUCUGCGAGCUCAUGGUAGCCAUGGACCAGAAUCCAAGCAUUGAAGUAAGACGGGAAUGCAUACUGAAGGCAUUAUGCAUCUACUUAAAUGAAGAUCCUGAC